GGAAAAGGCGGUGGAUGUUUCCAACCCGAACAUGGUGUCUUUCUCAUCAUCGGGUUCUCGACUCAGGAAGAACCUUUACAAUUCAGUAAAAUAUGUUAUGGUACAUGGCCACCCAAAAAGGGGACACGUGGAACCUAAGCCGGGAGGACGGAAAACCGGACGCAGAUAUCCCGUGUGUCACCGGAAAAGACAACGUUCGUGAAGGCAUUGAAUACUCUACGCGCGGUAGCAUUCAAUGAGGAAUAUUUCACAGCAUUAAAAAGUAACGGCCCGUUACAGAGAAUUUGGCAUUUAUGUUCACCGUUACGCCUUUAUCAAUGCUCCUCAUAAUUGACAUUAAAAAAGGGCACGACCCCAGUACCUUCUUCAUAGCUAUAAAUAAUAAGCUCAAUGAUCAUUGUAAAGGACACAAAUUUUCUCGCUAACUUACACUACAUUCGAUACAUCAUUUUAAUACAAUUUUAUUUUCUCGCA